rnacentral:rRNA from 1 species
UUGGAAACUGGUUAACUUGAGUGCAGUAGAGGUAAGUGGAACUCCAUGUGUAGCGGUGGAAUGCGUAGAUAUAUGGAAGAACACCAGUGGCGAAGGCGGCUUACUGGACUGCAACUGACGUUGAGGCUCGAAAGUGUGGGUAGCAAACAGGAUUAGAUACCCUGGUAGUCCACACCGUAAACGAUGAACACUAGGUGUUAGGAGGUUUCCGCCUCUUAGUGCCGAAGCUAACGCAUUAAGUGUUCCGCCUGGGGAGUACGACCGCAAGGUUGAAACUCAAAGGAAUUGACGGGGACCCGCACAAGCGG